rnacentral:rRNA from 1 species
AUUGCCCCAGUAACGGCGAGUGAAGCGGCAACAGCUCAAAUUUGAAAUCUGGCCCCCAGGGCCCGAGUUGUAAUUUGCAGAGGAUGCUUUUGGCGCGGUGCCUUCCGAGUUCCCUGGAACGGGACGCCAUAGAGGGUGAGAGCCCCGUCUGGUCGGACGCCUAGCCUGUGUAAAGCUCCUUCGACGAGUCGAGUAGUUUGGGAAUGCUGCUCUAAAUGGGAGGUAUAUGUCUUCUAAAGCUAAAUACCGGCCAGAGACCGAUAGCGCACAAGUAGAGUGAUCGAAAGAUGAAAAGCACUUUGAAAAGAGGGUUAAAUAGUACGUGAAAUUGUUGAAAGGGAAGCGCUUGUGACCAGACUUGGGCCCGGUGGAUCAUCCAGCGUUCUCGCUGGUGCACUCCGCCGGGUUCAGGCCAGCAUCAGUUCGCCGCGGGGGAAAAAGGCUUCGGGAACGUGGCUCCUACGGGAGUGUUAUAGCCCGUUGCAUAAUACCCUGGGGCGGACUGAGGUUCGCGCUCCGCAAGGAUGCUGGCGUAAUGGUCAUCAGCGACCCGUCUUGAAACACGGACCAAGGAGUCGUCUUCGUAUGCGAGUGUUCGGGUGUAAAACCCCUACGCGUAAUGAAAGUGAACGCAGGUGAGAGCUUCGGCGCAUCAUCGACCGAUCCUGAUGUUCUCGGAUGGAUUUGAGUAAGAGCAUACGGGGCCGGACCCGAAAGAAGGUGAACUAUGCCUGUAUAGGGUGAAGCCAGAGGAAACUCUGGUGGAGGCUCGCAGCGGUUCUGACGUGCAAAUCGAUCGUCAAAUAUGGGCAUGGGGGCGAAAGACUAAUCGAACCUUCUAGUAGCUGGUUUCCGCCGAU